rnacentral:rRNA from 1 species
CCUACGGGGGGCAGCAGUGGGGAAUAUUGCACAAUGGGGGAAACCCUGAUGCAGCGACGCCGCGUGAGUGAAGAAGUAUUUCGGUACGUAAAGCUCUAUCAGCAGGGAAGAAAAAAAGUCCUUUGGACUUUGGACGGUACCUGACCAAGAAGCCCCGGCUAACUACGGGCCAGCAGCCGCGGUAAUACGUAGGGGGCAAGCGUUAUCCGGAUUUACUGGGUGUAAAGGGAGCGCAGACGGCAGCGCAAGUCUGGAGUGAAAUGCCGGGGCCCAACCCCGGAACUGCUUUGGAAACUGUGCGGCUGGAGUGCGGGAGAGGUAAGCGGAAUUCGUGGUGUAGCGGUGAAAUGCGUAGAUAUUAGGAGGAACACCAAUGGCGAAGGCGGCUUACUGGACUGUAACUGACGUUGAGGCUCGAAAGCGUGGGGAGCAAACAGGAUUAGAUACCCUGGUAGUC